rnacentral:rRNA from 1 species
GAUGAACGCUGGCGGCGUGCCUAAUACAUGCAAGUAGAACGCUGAAGCUUGGUGCUUGCACUUCUCGUGUUAGUUGCGGACGGGUGAGUAACGCGUGGGUAACCUGCCUCUUAGCGGGGGAUAACUAUUGGAAACCGUAGCUAAUACCGCAUAAUAUUUGAUAUCGCAUGGUUUUGAUUUGAAAGGUGGUAUUGCUUUACUUAAUAGUGGGCUUGCGUUGUCUUAGCUUAUUUGUGAAGUAAAGGCUCAACAAAGCGACGAUACAUAAGCGAACUUGAAGGGGGGUUGGGCAAAAUGGGAAUGGAACAAGGCCCAGAAUUCUACGGGAAGGAGCAGUAGGGAAUUCUCGGCAAUGGGGGCAACGCUGAACGAGGAACGCCGCGGGAGUGAAGAAGGGUCUCGGAUCGGAAAGAUCUGUUGUAAGAGGAGAACGAGUGGGAGAGGGGAAAGUGCACACUGUGACGGUAACUUACCAGAAAGGGACGGCUAACUACGUG